rnacentral:rRNA from 1 species
UAGGGAAUCUUCGGCAAUGGGGGGAACCCUGACCGAGCAACGCCGCGUGAGUGAAGAAGGUUUUCGGAUCGUAAAGCUCUGUUGUUAAGGAAGAACGAGUGUGAGAAUGGAAAGUUCAUACUGUGACGGUACUUAACCAGAAAGGGACGGCUAACUACGUGCCAGCAGCCGCGGUAAUACGUAGGUCCCGAGCGUUGUCCGGAUUUAUUGGGCGUAAAGCGAGCGCAGGCGGUUAGAUAAGUCUGAAGUUAAAGGCAGUGGCUCAACCAUUGUAGGCUUUGGAAACUGUUUAACUUGAGUGCAGAAGGGGAGAGUGGAAUUCCAUGUGUAGCGGUGAAAUGCGUAGAUAUAUGGAGGAACACCGGUGGCGAAAGCGGCUCUCUGGUCUGUAACUGACGCUGAGGCUCGAAAGCGUGGGGAGCAAACAGG